CCCACUAUGCUCAACCGUUAACAAAGAUGGGACCCACACCCCCCCAUUCGCCAGAGAAUUACGAGUAGUACUUAAAACUCAAAGGACUUGACGGUGUCCCAAACCAACCUAGAGGAGCCUGUCCUAUAAUCGAUGACCCGCGUUACACCUUACCCCCCCUUGAAAACAGUCUGUAUACCGCCGUCUACCAGUUCGCCUCAUGAUAGACUCACAGCGAACACGCCAGCCUGCCCCUCAGACGACAGGUCAAGGUGCAGCCAAUGGGGUGGACAGAGAUGGGCUACAUUUUCUAUACCACUAGAACAUCACCACCCGCCAAAUGAAACAUAGGCCAGAAGGCGGAUCUAGCAGUAAGCUGAAUAAGAACGUUCAACUGAAGCCUGCCCUGGGACGCGUACACACCGCCC
rnacentral:rRNA from 1 species